rnacentral:rRNA from 1 species
GACGUAGGGCGCGAGCGUUGUCCGGAUUUAUUGGGCGUAAAGAGCUCGUAGGCGGUUUGUCGCGUCGGCUGUGAAAACCCACGGCUCAACUGCGGGCUUGCAGUGGAUACGGGCAGGCUAGAGUGCGGUAGGGGAGACUGGAAUUCCUGGUGUAGCGGUGAAAUGCGCAGAUAUCGGAAGGAAGACCAGUGGCGAAGGCGGGUCUCUGGACAGUACCUGACGCUGAGGCACGAAGGCCAGGGGAGCAAACGGG